AGCGGGGGAGUAGCAAUACUCCCGCCGGCGACCGGCGCACGGGUGAGUAACACGUAUGAAACCUGCCCGUAGCAGGGGGAUAAGCGGAAGAAAUUCCGUCUAAUACCGCGUAACAACCCAUGGAGGCAUCUCCGUGGGUUUAAAGGAAGCGAUUCCGGCUACGGAUGGUCAUGCGUCGCAUUAGCUUGUUGGCGGGGUAACGGCCCACCAAGGCGACGAUGCGUAGGGGUUCUGAGAGGAAGGUCCCCCACACUGGUACUGAGACACGGACCAGACUCCUACGGGAGGCAGCAGUGAGGAAUAUUGGUCAAUGGCCGCAGGGCUGAACCAGCCAAGUCGCGUGAGGGAUGACGGUCCUAUGGAUUGUAAACCUCUUUUGUCAGGGAGCAAAGGGCGCCACGUGUGGCGUUUUGCGAGUACCUGAAGAAAAAGCAUCGGCUAACUCCGUGCCAGCAACCGCGGUAAUACGGAGGAUGCGAGCGUUAUCCGGAUUUAUUGGGUUUAAAGGGUGCGCAGGCGGAAUGUCAAGUCAGCGGUAAAAUUUCGGGGCUCAACCCCGUCGUGCCGUUGAAACUGACGUUCUUGAGUGAGCGAGAAGUAUGCGGAAUGCGUGGUGUAGCGGUGAAAUGCAUAGAUAUCACGCAGAACUCCGAUUGCGAAGGCAGCAUACCGGCGCUCAACUGACGCUCAUGCACGAAAGCGUGGGUAUCGAACAGGAUUAGAUACCCUGGUAGUCCA
rnacentral:rRNA from 1 species